rnacentral:rRNA from 1 species
AGUGAACGCUGGCGGUAGGCCUAACACAUGCAAGUCGAACGGCAGCACAGUAAGAGCUUGCUCUUACGGGUGGCGAGUGGCGGACGGGUGAGGAAUACAUCGGAAUCUACUUUUUCGUGGGGGAUAACGUAGGGAAACUUACGCUAAUGCCGCAUACGACCUACGGGUGAAAGCAGGGGAUCUUCGGACCUUGCGCGAUUGAAUGAGCCGAUGUCGGAUUAGCUAGUUGGCGGGGUAAAGGCCCACCAAGGCGACGAUCCGUAGCUGGUCUGAGAGGAUGAUCAGCCACACUGGAACGGAGACACGGUCCAGACUCCUACGGGAGGCAGCAGUGGGGAAUAUUGGACAAAGGGCGCAAGCCUGAUCCAGCCAUACCGCGUGGGUGAAGAAGGCCUUCGGGUUGUAAAGCCCUUUUGUUGGGAAAGAAAAGCAGCAGGUUAAUACCCCGCUGUUCUGACGGUACCCAAAGAAUAAGCACCGGCUAACUUCGUG